rnacentral:lncRNA from 1 species
GACGGCCUAUUCCGGGGCAACCUCUCCGCCUCACCUCGUCUCGUCUUCCUCCCAGAUCCACCACGCAACGGUCGCCAUGGGCCUCGACGGCGCGCCGGCCUGCUCCAUCCUCACUCAAAACCUCGAGUGGCCGUGGGUGAGGAGACUGCGGCCAGAGCGACCGGAUUCACGCCGUCGUCAACAGCACCUGACGCCAUCAAGUUCUGCUGCUCCUUCGUCAUGAACAAGGAGAGGCCGACGCUAUCCAGGUCCGCCACCAAGGACUGCUGCUGCAGGCACCGCCACUCCCAGCACAUUAUCUCCAAGGUCUCUGUCUCCCCCUUCCACGUACUACUAUGUUAUCUCAUGCACAUUAAUUGGGUCUGAAAGGCAGUUUAGUUAGGCAACACCUUUUAAUCAUGCAAGUAAUUUUCAACAGUGUUGAUCUGUUUCUCUCUCUCGAAUUGAGGAGGAGAGACUCAUAAUACAGGAUAUCUGUCACAGCUGACCCAUCAAAAAGAGACAGGUUCUGCAAUCUACUGUGUUGAUCUCUAGACAGGCAAAAAUCUGUUUUCUAUCUUAUCCUGUUCAUGCAUAGUAGGUAAGGCUGGACGGAACGAGCGAACUUUUCGGCCCGUUAAGGACCGGAUCGUACGGUCCAGGACCGGUGAAAAAACUGGUCGGUCCGGGCUGCAAUUUCCAGCUCGAGAAAAUGUUGGUCCGGUCCAGUCUUUAACCGAGCCGCUCCGUCGGACCGAGAACACGCAAUCACCGUCGCUCUUGUGCUUCGUCGUCGUGGUCACCGGCAACCCCCGUGUGAACCAUCAUGUCCGCAAGCUUCCCCUAUCAUUCCUUCCUCAGGCCCCGAUGUGUCAUAGCCUCUUUGCACUGCUCGCAAUCUCUGCCGUGCGUGCACCGCCGCCCAUCUGAAGUUCUGGAGUUAACUAGGUGCACCGCCGCCCAUCAAGUAUCGCUUCGUCUUCGUUAUCUGUUAACUAGGUUUCAGUCAAGAGCUCCCCGUGUUAUAUGAGUAGAUGGUGAUGCUAGCAUGCACGUUUACAAUACGUGUUGAAUAUACUUGUUUCUCAAUAAGAUCAUGAUUCUUUAGCUUUCAUUGGUCAGCCUGUCGAUUUUCUUUUUGAAUGUGCGUAUUGGUACAUACUCCCUCCCUCCCAAAAUAAGUGACUUAAAAAUGACUAAACUUUACACUAACUUUAAUACAAAGUUGAGUCUUUUUGAGUCACUUAUUUUAAAACGGAGGGAGUACUUGUUAACUGGAUCCAUUGCAUCUUUGCAUGACUAAUUGUUAAGCUGAUACAGUUUGUCUAGUGGACGAGUUUGGAAAUAAUCAUUAACUUUUCUAAAAUUUAUACUUGUCUUGACUAACCACUGUUUUUCAGUUAAGAACUCCACACGUUAUAUGAGUAGAUGGUGAUAUCCUAGCAUGUACAUUUACAACACGUGUUGACAUAUACUACUACCUUCAACAGGAUCAUGAUUCUUCAGUUUCAUUGGUUAGCCUGUCAAUUUGAGUGUGUUAAUUGAUACAUACUUGUUGAUUGGACCAUUUUUUUUCAGUUUGCACCCAUCAACCUCUAUUUGCUUGAUAGUUUGCGAGUACUUCCCCACCUCCUGCGUCGUUCCUACGAACGACUGGGGGGGGGGGACCCUAGCCGCCAGUACUCUGUGCCCUCUCUCCCUACCUAGGAACCGGGCCUAGGCCUUGCGGCCGGGGGCCCUGUGGUAGAUCGGAGGUGGACGAUAGGCAAGGUGAAAAGAGGUGAGGAGAGGGGGCUAUGACGGAGACAUGUUUGGCUCCCAUGACUGAGAGGAACGAUGUCGAGGAUGUGGAAAAUGUGGUCCUGCAAGGAGAGCUAGAGGAAGAGGACAGAUGGGGGAGAUCUGAUGAGAGGGCGCCGCUGCUCCUGCGGCACCGCACUGUCGCUCUUUCCAUGCCGCGCCGCUACUAUUGGUUAGAGAGACAGGAGAUGAGAUGGGGAAAAAAUUUAGGCCCGAAUAAUUCUGUGAGGAAGAGAAAAGUUGUCGAGGCGGUAUAGAAAGAGUCAUGUUAAGAGGCAAGGUCAAAGCACAAACCAACCCGUGGUUGGAUGGUUAGGAGGACUGUGGUAUCCCCUGCUCAUCAGAGUUCAAGUACCAGAUUUAACGUUGGUGCUUACAUUUUUCUGGAUUUAUUCCAGGUCUUUCAGCGAUGUGCUUUCAGUAGGAGGAGACAUUCCCGUCGACAACGAAGGCGUUAGUGGCGACUUCGUCAAUCUCAAGAUGAUGUGCCGACUUAGUCUCUCGAAGGUGCGCAUAGGGGUAGGAUGUGCGUGCGUGCGUUCAUAUGGGUGAGUGUACGCUCGUGUAUGUGAGCGACUUCGAAUGUACUCUGUUCAAAAGAGGCAAGGUCAAAGGUUAUAUUAAAUAGUGGGAUCAUUUAAAUCAUAUCAAUGGGGAUGUAGCUCAAUUGAUAGAGCGCUUAUCAAUGCUAGUAAGAGGCAGGCGGUUCGAUACCUCCCAUCUCCAGUGUUGCUUAUUUUUUCCAUUAGUGUAUUGCUUUUUUAAGAGAAGUAUAUGUUUUUUCUCUAUCUGUAGAAAACUAGGCCUCGGAGAUUUUGAUGCUACAUGGGCUUCUUUCUAAGGCCUUUGUUAGGCUGGGAAGCAGUCGGUAGCCAAGCCAUUGCAUGCACCUUUUUUUUAAUGAGGAAGGCCAGAGUGGCCCUUAUAUUACAUGUGAUAAAAUAGUUACAUCAUUUGCUAGAGUAUCAAUGAGGAAGCCAGGGGCUCCUCCAUCCACUUUAUAGUUCUAGUGGGUUCAGCAAAUCUAGCUAAUGUAUCUGCAACCAUGUUUGCUUCCCUGGGACAGAAAACAAAAUGAAUAGAGCUAAAAUUUAAUAUAAUGAUAAAACUCACUAAUAGUAAACAUCAGGAAAAAUAAUCGCUCAAAAAUCUAUUUUUAAACUAAAGUUAUUCACAAAGUAGUGAUUCAAAGAAAUUUCAAAGAAUUAAAAUUUAAGCUAUUUAAAUUUGAAAACUGCGAGCACUAACAUAAAGUUUAUAAUUUUUGUGACCUAAAGCAAGAAGAUUCAUUCAAAAACUAUACAUAUUCUAACAGUUAUUCCAAAUCUAAAAACAGAAAUUGUCGUGUUUAGAAAAACAAAACAAGCCAAAAAAAGAGAAAAUAGACCUUUAGUCCCGGUUGAAGCCACCAACCGGAUUAAAGGUCCCUUCUUGCGUGGAAUUUGGACCACCAAAAAGGAGACCUUUAGUCCCGGUUCGUUGCUCCAAACGGGACUAAAGGGAGGAACUUUAUUCCCGGUUGCAGACACCAACCGGGACUAAAUUGGUCUCGCCAACCGGGACUAAAGGUCUCAUUCGAACUGAGACUAAUGCCUACCGAGCUCCGUCCGGCGUCCUAGCCGCUCGAACCGGGACAACCGGGACAAUUGCUCCGAUCUGGCUAGGACAAAAGCCCUGUUUUCUACUAGUGCUUUUAAAUUCUAUAGAUGAGUCAACAAACAUAACUGGGUAAAGAUGGCAGCUUUUGCACUUCCGGUUAAUCACUUGUUAUUUGCAGAUGACGGCCUGCUGAUUUUCAAGUCAAGUGGUGACGGGAAAAUGAGCUAAACCAGUUGUUAACCAUAUAUUGCCAGGCUUUUGGCCAAUGCAUAAACUAUGAUACAUCUUCCAUUUUCUUUAGUAAGGGAUGCCUAGGUAAUGUUAGGGAGGAAGUACAAGGAUUGUUGCAUGUUCCGAAUGAAACAUUCAAUGGAAAAUAUUUGAGUAUGCCAUCUGAUGUGGGUGCUUCAAACAAUGGAACUUUCAAGUACUUAAAAGAAUAUCUGUGGAAAGUCGAAGGAUGGAUUGAAAAAACAUGUUCUCGGCUGGUAAGGAAGUGUUGGUUAAGUCGGUUGCACAAGUUGUACAUGUUUAUUCUAUGUCUUGCUUUAAACUUCCUAGGGGACUCGGUGAACAGUUGCAUAAGUUGAUUCAGAAAUUCUUGUGGGGAAGCAAUGAUGGCCAUCACAGGCUCAACUGGGUCUAGUAUGAUACAAGCAAAGUACAUGGGAGGACUGGGUUUCAAAUAUUUCCAGCUCCUUAAAUCUAGCGCGUCUAGCAAAGUAGUCAUGGCGUAUUCUUGAAACUCAAGAAUCACUCAGUGCAAGAAUCUUAAAAGUGGUUUAUUUUCCAUCGGAUACAAUUUUGAAUCUAGAACUUGGCAGUCACCCUUGCCAAACAUGGUACAUGGAUACCAUUUUGGCGGGAUGCGAUAUAUUGACACAUGGGCUGAUUAGGCGGAUAGGUAAGGAAGCAUCGACCGAUAUAUGGAAUGACAACUGCAUACCGAGGGAUGUAAUGAUGCGCCCCUUCGGCUGUCGGUCUCGCCCCCCCCCCCCCCCUUCCCACCCACACAUACACAUUUGUUUCCGAAAUUAUUGACCAUACCACUGCUAAAUGGGACAGAGUAAAAGUUGUCAAGGAUUUCCUAACGACUGGUGUGCCAGCCAUCCUCAGCAUAUCGUUGUGUACUAGGUAUCUGGAUGAUAGCUGGUCAUGGGAUUUUAAAAAAAGUGGGAGCUUCUCAGUCAGAUCGGCCUACAGAAUGAUGAUCACAACGAAAUGAAGGAAGAAAGCUUGGUUACAUGGUUCCUCAGGAUCAACGUGCAAUGAAAGAGACGCGACAUCGCGGAGAUUACCAUGGAAGAUUCCAGUCCCUGGCAAGAUACGCAAUGUUUCUCUCAAGACUAGCGAAAAACUGUCAGCCAACGGAGGAUGUUAGAGCACGUAGAAAAAUGUCCGUCACAAGCUCUUGUCCCUUGUGUGGAGCUGUUGAUUUAUGAUAGCAUUCUCUUCUUAAGUGUACUAUGGCACAGCGUGUCUGGGCACUAUUUGAUGGAGAAUUGGUGGAAUUUUUUUGCAAAACAACGGAACCUAGUGCAAGACAAUGGUUGUUCUCGAUGUCGACACGCUCUCAUGUGAAUCUUUUGUCAAGCUAUCAGUGAUCUUCUGGGCGAUUUGUUGGGCAAGGAGACAAGUUAUUCAAGGAGGUUGCCGCGCUAGAAGCAAUCGCUCGUCACGAAGCUUCGUAUCUUGCUGAGGAUCUUCUAAUUCAAGAUUUUAUUGUUGCCUCCUACCCGAAACAUGUGAUAAACGACAAUGAGAAGAGAACGAACAGUCGGUAUGGACAUAUGAUAGUCAAGCUCAAUUCAAUUGAAGGAUUCAUGGUCGAUUCAAUAUGAUUGGGUGGCAAAAUUAAUUUUCAGUGUUGCAAAUUAUAAAGUUAUACUACCUGAGCGCCACCAGGUCAAAGUUAUUUUUUGUUUGCCAAAGUAUGAAAUAUAUAAUGCAUGAAACUUCCCUAUCAAAAUCUUAGCAACAGUAAGAAACAGUUAAUAUAAUCUACUACCCCUAAAAAAGCAUAAAAAGACAGAUCCAACUAAGCAUAUUAGCCAUUGAUUACGUAAUCUAAUGGUCUAUAAACUCUAUAAUGUUGAGUGGACUAACGAAAACGAAACACACUAACGAAAAACGAUAGGCCCGCAUGAACGCAAAACGGCCCGCACCACAUCACAACGCACGACUCCGCUGCCCACCUCCUGUAAUCCCUAAAAAACCACCCUCGCUCUUCGCUUGCACGACCCCACUCGCCCGGAUGCCACCGCGAUCGGGUCCCUCAUCCUCAAGGCCUCAACCGGGCGCUCCAACCUCCAAGAUCUUCCAAUGGUGUGGGCCUCCUCCGUCUUCUCACCUGGUUCAUCUACACCAUUGAGUCCACUACUCGUCAGGUGGUGGUUCUAUGCUCGGCCUGGGAGGCGAUGACGGUGGGGAACAGCGGCGCAUCGGCGGACAUCAUUGCAUGUGCAGCAUGCAGCGGCAGCGGCUGCAGAGCCACGGAAGAGCAGCGGUGCUAAGCAGGUGCAGGUUAGAAGGAGGCAGCACGGGGCCGGGCGGCGCUGGAGGCAGAGCUUGUCCUCGAGUGUGGCGUGGGUCUUUUUCUUAUGCCAGACAGAAAGAUAAGAACAAUGUGUUAAUGAUGAGAUCAGUUUGUAUAGAAUCAUAAAGAGAUCAGUUUGUAUAGAAUCAUAAUGAACUUGACAUCUCGCUAAGGCACACAUAUAGACACUUGCUGCAACUUUCUUUGUUACAAAGGAACAUCUUCUAGUCUAAGUAUUUUGGGAUGGAGGGGGUAGUAGUUUAGCAACGAGUUGUUCUGUUUUGGAUUUUUAAUAUUAUUUUCGUACACUAACUAGCCCUAUAAAACGCAGGACUUGUUUUUGUUUUUGGGAAUUUUGUUUUCGGAGCAUGAACUACCGUAAACUUGGAUGUGGUAUCUGGUUUCACUAAUGAUAAUGUAACGCGUCCCUUGUUCAUCUAAAAAUACAUACAUGAUUUUUUCUUCUUUUUUGCAAUCAAAAGUACGGUAUUUCUUCCAGAUUCACAAGAUUACAAUCGGCAACGACUAGUUCAACAAUACAAGGGGGAGGUUGGUUAAGCCAACAUGCAGUGCUAUCCCCACUACGUCCAAUAUCCGCUAAACAAUUUGCAACCCUGUUUAGUUCACGAGAGAUUUUUACAUGAGUAAAUACUUUAUCUUCCAGAAGAACUUUUGUCUAUGCAAUCAAAUGGCCAUUCGCCGAUCUGUCUAAAGAACGGUCCUUGAACACCGACAAUGCUAUGGUGUUGUCAGACUCGAUCAUCAUUGGUAAGGCAGUCCAUAUAUAGGAAUGCCAAGCCAAGACCCUCCAUUAUCGCAUGUAGCCCCGACUCUAGUGCAUCAUUACAGUUGUAUAAUCGUAUGUAGGCCGCGAAAAUCAUCGCUCCCUUCUCAUCCCUCAAAAUCAUCCCAGUACCAGCUGAACCGUCCGCUUCAAUAAAACAUCCAUCUACAGAUAAUGCAAUCGAACCAAAAGGUUGGCAUGGCCAUCAUAGGCUCGGUGGCUUCGGUUUGGUAUGAGGCAACGGUCGUACGUCGAACACCGCAUAUUUUCCUUUUAUUACCUCCUGAACACUAAGUCGCCGCACUUGAAUCAAUGAGUUAAGAUAGCUUCUUAGGAACAAGCAAGACACUUUUAGGAGGAGAGGGGGGGGUGGAUUAAUGAUUUUUUCACUCGUGUCUUGAAAAUAAACCAGGAUCACGUUGACAUUUAUGUGAUCUUGCAGGGUGGAUUAGGGCAUCUCCAGCCGUGCCCCAGGACGCCCCCAAACACAUUUUUUAGCACCACGAUAGAAAAAAGUUCCAGCCAUGCCCCGACGAUGUUGUUUUGCGCCAGAUUUGAGGAAAACUAGCCUGGAAGAUCCCAGGCUGAACCCAGCCCCCCGGGGGCACUUAGGGCGUCUGGCACUGUUUCUGCAUGCACAAACCCCACGACGUCAUGAAUCGCCUUGCGUCGUGCCGUUCAAAUAGCCCACAACGUCACAACCACCUUGACGAACUGCUCAUGUGAUAAUGAACUCAAAAGAAAGACGUCAAUUUAUGAUAGAUUGGUUUGUUGCUCAACUUAGAUGGAUUGGCUAAUAUAGAAAGCCACGAUGCAUUCAUUGUAGAGUUUAGGUUAUAUUAUACGAAUAGAAACUAUGUCUUUUUAGGGUAAUAUCUAUAUCGAGUUUUGUGUUAAGCUGUCUAAAAUUUCCUAAGUUUUGGAGGAAGCUUUAGAAAACCUCUCUAUUCGAUUUAUCUUCGUGUAAAUUGUUUUGUGCGUGACUACCGUCGUCGAGAUUGGCUUUCUCGUACCGAGCCGUAAUUAAGGUUCAAACCCUCUACUUCGUGUGCAUCGCGUGCGCCGCGAGAGAUCGCUGCUACUGAAGCAACACAUCAAAUCUCACAUCCAGGUUCGGUCACAUCGCUGCUACUGAAGGUGCAGAAAGUUAUAUUUAUUAUUUUAUCCAAUGCAACGCACGGGCAUUUGUACCAGUAAUAGUCUAAUGGUUGCAUAUAUAAAAAGAAAGAAUUUAAACAAAAAAGCGAGGUGCUAAUGUCUAGCACAUGCCAACCCGAGGGAUGCAAUUGCGCUAUUUUUUUACGACUGUGCCCUCAUAGGGGAUCUUUUCACUGCAUUUUUUUGAUCCGUGUGCACUUAUCGGUGCUGGGUCACGGAUGGGCUCGGAGGCCAUCUUUUCGUCCGUGCGCACCUUUCGGCGCUGGGUCACGGGUUGGGCUCAGCGGCCUCUUUCAUUUAUGCGCUUAGGCAUCUUCCGCAGCUGACAACCGUGCACCAUCCCCGUGUUGGCCAUGCAGUGGGCAGAAUAGGGCCUAAUAUACCGGGCACGUCCUGAUUGAGCUUCCGGUACGGUACUAAUGUGUGCAGCGAUUCGCGCUGUCGAUUUCGCGUCCCGCACGCUGGCAACCCUGAAAAACUCGGUUCGGGCCCAAGUGAAACUGGGCCAGUUCUCGUGUCUUUCUCCUCCCCACCUCGAGCGACUCCUCCCCGUCGCCGACGGCCUAUUCCGGGGCAACCUCUACGCCUCACCUCGUCUCGUCUUCCUCCCAGAUCCAGCACGCAACGGUCGCCAUGGGCCUCGACGGCGCGCCGGUCUGCUCCAUCCCCAGUCAAAACCUCGAGUGGCCGUGCGUGAGGAGAGACUGCGGCCAGAACGACUGGAUUCACGCCGUCGUCAACAGCACCUGACGCCAUCAAGUUCCGCUGCUCCUUCGUCAUGAACAAGCAGCGGCCGACGCCACCAAGGACUGCUGCUGCAGGCACCGCCACUCCCAGCAUAUCAUCUCGAAGGCCUCUGUGUCCCCCUCCCAUGUCUUCCAUCUACAUCUCUGUGCCUUCUCCGUUUUUAUUAUCUUGUUUCCUUCGCUGAUGUUCCGCUGCAAGCACGACAAGGCUGGCCUACAUCUUGGAAAAAAACUGCUCUAGGUAAUCAGAUCAUGACGCCCUGCCUCAUACUCCAUCUUAAAUAAUUAAAUUCCUCUGUUUCGUCAUGUUACCAUACCACUGCUGUCAUCAGGUUUUACGACGUACUACUAUGUUAUCUCAUGCACAUUGAUUGGGUCUGAAAGGCAGUUUAGUUAGGCAACACUUGGUAAUCAUGCAAGUAAUUUUCAACUGUGUUGAUCUGUUUCUCUCUCUCGAAUUGAGGAGCCCAGCUACCAAUUUCAUUUUCAUGGAAAUGAGACUCAUAAUACAGGAUAUCUGUCACAGCUGACCAAUCAAAAAAAGACAGGUUCUGCAAAC